rnacentral:siRNA from 1 species
AGUCAACGGGUGAGUAAACCCG